GCUUGGCUAUCCUGAGUUGAACUAGCUGUUGGUCAUCCUAAGGGCAGGCGGUCUCCUGAAGUUGGACCGAACCAUUAGGACGUGCCACAGUAACAGCUACGCUGCUCAGAAGGCCCGAAGGGUCUUCCUCAGCGACCUAGCGUGGGCACGCGCCACUGCGGCCAAAAGACAGAAAUCUUUUUACCGGAAGAGAUGAAAUAGAAAGCAGGAGCCAGAGGCUGACUUACAGAGCCAGUGUGCGGAUCAGAGUUCCUUAGGAGCGGCUGCUGGCGCUUGACGGGCGGAAUCCUUGCUGAAGAGAACGUCAAGGCCCGGGCUUCGCCCUGCAUCGAACUUACUGCCUAAGAAUAAGACCCAAAUGCUGAGCGCCCCGCCCCAACUUGCCAGUUUAAGUGCAAAAAUACAUAGAUUAAAAUGUCAGCCUAAUAAAGCAGUGGCACUGAGCCAGAAAAAAAUAGUCUCAACGCCUGUGUGAUUUAGAUACUAACUUACAGGCUCACGCCUGUAAUCCCAGCACUUCGGGAGGCCGAGGCGGGUGAAUUAGUUGAGGUCAGGAGACCAUCCCGGCCAACAUGGUGAAACCCCGUCUCUACCAAAAAUAACAAAAAUUAGCUGGAUGUGGUGGCGCGCCCAUGUAAUCCCAGCUACUCAGGAGGCUGAGGCGGGAGUAAGGCUUGAACCCGGGAGAAGACAGAGCAACACUCGGUCUCCAAAAAAAAAAACCACAAAUUAACUUGGAGAAUGUUUUUCUCUUUACACAACAUUUUUGCAAACAUUUCAUUUGAUAAAGCCAUACUUUAGAGAUGAGGUAAUUCAGGUGAAAAUGUGUAAAGAUUACACAGUGCAAGGUCACACAGUAAGCAGGUAAACCGGGGCUAUUUGACUAAUCCAGAUUUCUCUGAUUCCAGGCGAAAACAUUAGAUUGGCCAUCAGUUCAGGAAGCUCCAUUCCACUAUUACAAAUAAAUCUGCACAAACAAUUGGAUAGUCAAGGGAAACAUUGGUCUCAUUGGGGGUCUCAGAUAUGUCUUCAUUCCAUGAUCUCACCUCACUUGCAUAACCUAGUCUAUAACCAGAUUAGCCAGGCCUACUAUUAGUUGUUGGAAAAUUUGGAGAAAUGGAAUUGGGGGAAGAUAAUUCUCUGGUUUUUGGAGAGAGUGUAAAAGUACAAGCUACCAUCAAUUUUUCAAUCAGGCUGUGCCCUAAGGAAGUACUGGGUCAAAUAUUUAGAAAUUGAGCCUCAGGCUGGGCAGUGUCUCAGGCCUAUGAUCCCAGCGCUUUGGGAGACCAAGACUUAAAGCUUGGGAGGAUGGCUUAAGGCCAGCAAUUGGGAGACUAGCCUGGGCAACAUGGCAAGAUCCCGCUUCUA
rnacentral:lncRNA from 1 species